CAUAAUUCCACAAGCCCACACCCGGGCACCUCUAUCCGGAAACCCUAGCAAGUUAGUGCAGCCGCCUCCAUCUCUCCCGAUCAUUCCCCACCCCGUCCAAUCCCAAUACACAUGUUCCAGCAGCCAUCGGUUUGCAUCCGGUCAUCAGGAGAGGCGAGGAGAUGCGGAUCCAGAAGGCAGGCCAUGGCGGCGGUUAGAUCCGUGCCGGGACAGGAUCUGCAUCUGGAGACCCAUAGCAUGGAGGGAGGAGACCCACGCCGUGGAGUUAUUCGUCAAGGAUCUGUGAUGGAGCGCAUGCUUAUUUUCCUCUCCACGGAUCAAGGCAUAUCCACUGGAUCCAUGCGCUCAGUGAUUCCCGAGGAGAACGCGGCCAUGGCGGAGGAAGACCGGCGGAAGAGGCGCGGGUUCGUCCGGCAAGAGGCGGUGGAAGACGUCCUCCAGGAGCUCGUCCGGCAGCGACGGUGCCGUCGUCGAUGGCGGCGGCGGCGGCAUUGAGGCUAGGGUUUCUGGUGUGGUGGGGGAAUCAUCAGAGGAGAAAGGGGCCUCGCUCAAGGAUUCUUCUCGGUUCAACCAGCGAACGCUCCGAGAAAGGAGAAUUGAGGCUAGGGUUUCUGGUGGGGUGGGAGAAUCAUCAGAGGAGAAAGGGUUGCAGCAUAAGCAUUACAUUAUUCUUGCACCUGCUUGUGACUUUGAGAUGAUUUGCCAAAGCUAUAGUCAACACAUGGCUGUAUUAUAGCCGAUGAGUUAGGUCUAAUGCCAUAGGUUUGCUUUCCUAAUUGCAGAUGUACAUGUAUAAACGGCUCCAUCACUAUGAUAUGCGUCGCCGCUCCUCCUAUACCUGGGCCGGACGGUAGCUGCCGGCCGGAGGGUUCCGCACUUCUUCGACACAUAGAGUGGUCAAAUGGCUUCGCCAAGGUACGUUCAUGUGCACUGGCGCAGGCCGAGCUUGCAUGGAAUGACGACCCGGUGCACGCCCUGUAUUGAUCAGGUUGGCGUACUGGCGGCAAUGGCAAGAGUAUAUUGUGCAGAGGAAGAGGAUGAGAAGAAACUUUUGAUUCUCAUCCAAUCUUUUUCAAACUAUCUUUAUGUGCGAUUGUGCACCUUUUGGGUCCUUUUUCUGUGCACUUACACUUGCAGAAGUAUUCUGGUGUACACAUGUAAAAUUAUUUUGAUGUGUCCUUGUUAGACGUUGAACCUUAAUGCAUGGAGUCAUUGGAUGAUGUAUUGUAUUUGAUGUGAUAUGCUACUAAAAUAAAAUAUACAUUUUAUUUGCAA